rnacentral:rRNA from 1 species
AGCUCCAGUAGCGUAUAUUAAUGUUGUUGCAGUUAAAAAGCUCGUAGUUGGAUUUCUGACUUGACAGCCUGACCCGUUUUCAAAGAUUUGAAAAUGUGUGUUGUGGCGCGUCAUUCAUCUUUCCAGGGAACUGUUCUACCCUUCAUUGGGCCGGAGCUGCGAUCUGGGACUUUUACUUUGAAAAAAUUAGAGUGUUCAAAGCAGGCUAGCGCGUAUGAAUACAUUAGCAUGGAAUAAUAAUUUAGGACUUUGGUCCUAUUUUGUUGGUUUUCGGGACUAAAGUAAUGAUUGAUAGGGAUAGUUGGGGGUGCUAGUAUUCAGCGGCCAGAGGUGAAAUUCUUGGAUUCGCUGAAGACUAACUUAUGCGAAAGCAUUCACCAAGGAUGUCUUCUUUAAUCAA